rnacentral:rRNA from 1 species
AUUGAACGCUGGCGGCAGGCCUAACACAUGCAAGUCGAGCGGUAGCACAGAGAGCUUGCUCUCGGGUGACGAGCGGCGGACGGGUGAGUAAUGUCUGGGAAACUGCCUGAUGGAGGGGGAUAACUACUGGAAACGGUAGCUAAUACCGCAUAAUGUCGCAAGACCAAAGUGGGGGACCUUCGGGCCUCAUGCCAUCAGAUGUGCCCAGAUGGGAUUAGCUAGUAGGUGGGGUAACGGCUCACCUAGGCGACGAUCCCUAGCUGGUCUGAGAGGAUGACCAGCCACACUGGAACUGAGACACGGUCCAGACUCCUACGGGAGGCAGCAGUGGGGAAUAUUGCACAAUGGGCGCAAGCCUGAUGCAGCCAUGCCGCGUGUGUGAAGAAGGCCUUCGGAUUGUAAAGCACUUUCAGCGGGGAGGAAGGCGGUGAGGUUAAUAACCUCAUCGAUUGACGUUACCCGCAGAAGAAGCACCGGCUAACUCCGUGCCAGCAGCCGCGGUAAUACGGAGGGUGCAAGCGUUAAUCGGAAUUACUGGGCGUAAAGCGCACGCAGGCGGUCUGUCAAGUCGGAUGUGAAAUCCCCGGGCUCAACCUGGGAACUGCAUUCGAAACUGGCAGGCUAGAGUCUUGUAGAGGGGGGUAGAAUUCCAGGUGUAGCGGUGAAAUGCGUAGAGAUCUGGAGGAAUACCGAUGGCGAAGGCGGCCCCCUGGACAAAGACUGACGCUCAGGUGCGAAAGCGUGGGGAGCAAACAGGAUUAGAUACCCUGGUAGUCCACGCCGUAAACGAUGUCGAUUUGGAGGUUGUGCCCUUGAGGCGUGGCUUCCGGAGCUAACGCGUUAAAUCGACCGCCUGGGGAGUACGGCCGCAAGGUUAAAACUCAAAUGAAUUGACGGGGGCCCGCACAAGCGGUGGAGCAUGUGGUUUAAUUCGAUGCAACGCGAAGAACCUUACCUGGUCUUGACAUCCACAGAACUUAGCAGAGAUGCUUUGGUGCCUUCGGGAACUGUGAGACAGGUGCUGCAUGGCUGUCGUCAGCUCGUGUUGUGAAAUGUUGGGUUAAGUCCCGCAACGAGCGCAACCCUUAUCCUUUGUUGCCAGCGGUCCGGCCGGGAACUCAAAGGAGACUGCCAGUGAUAAACUGGAGGAAGGUGGGGAUGACGUCAAGUCAUCAUGGCCCUUACGACCAGGGCUACACACGUGCUACAAUGGCAUAUACAAAGAGAAGCGACCUCGCGAGAGCAAGCGGACCUCAUAAAGUAUGUCGUAGUCCGGAUUGGAGUCUGCAACUCGACUCCAUGAAGUCGGAAUCGCUAGUAAUCGUAGAUCAGAAUGCUACGGUGAAUACGUUCCCGGGCCUUGUACACACCGCCCGUCACACCAUGGGAGUGGGUUGCAAAAGAAGUAGGUAGCUUAACCUUCGGGAGGGCGCUUACCACUUUGUGAUUCAUGACUGGGGUGA